rnacentral:rRNA from 1 species
GUAAGAACCUCAUCUUUCUUGAUCUGAAGAUAUUGGGGUUUAGAUAUAUUGUGCCCAGUGGGCCACUUUUGGUAAGCAGAACUGGCGCUGUGGGAUGAACCAAACAUGAUGUUACGGCGCCAAAAUUAAUGACUCAUAUUGAUACCAUGAAAGGCGUUGGUUGCUUAAAACAGCAGGACGGUGGACAUGGAAGUCGUAAUCCGCUAAGGAGUGUGUAACAACUCACCUGCCGAAGCAACUAGCCCUUAAAAUGGAUGGCGCUCAAGUCAUAUGCCUAUACAUCAUCGCUAAAAUAAAAAUUGUUGACUUUUUGGUCAUCAUUAUGAAAUUUUAGCGAGUAGGAGGGUACAAUGGUGUGCGCAGAAGUGUUUGGCGUGAGCCUGCAUGAAGCCGCCAUUGGCACAGAUCUUGGUGGUAGUAGCAAAUAAUCGAAUGAGAUCUUGGAGGACUGAAGUGGAGAAGGGUUUCGUGUGAACAGUGGUUGAUCACGAGUUAGUCGGUCCUAAGCUUUAUGCGAAAGCUGUUUAAUUUAUGUUACACACAAAUAUAAAAUUGUUGUACAUAAUUCAAUAAAAGCGAAAGGGAAUACGGUUCCAAUUCCGUAACCUGUUGAGUAUACGUUUGUUUAUUAAAAAUGGGUCUUAUUACACUCAUCCUGGCAACAGGAACGACCA